rnacentral:rRNA from 1 species
UACGGUAGGGGGCUAGCGUUGUCCGGAAUCAUUGGGCGAAGCGCGCGUAGGCGGCCCGGUAAGUCCGCUCUGAAAGUCCAGGGCUCAACACUCGGAUGCCGGUGGAUACUGUCGGGCUUGAGUACGGAAGAGGCGAGUGGAAUUCCUGGUGUAGCGGUGAAAUGCGCAGAUAUCAGGAGGAACACCAAUUGCGAAGGCAGCUCGCUGGGACGUUACUGACGCUGAGACGCGAAGCGUGGGGAGCAAACAGG